GCUCCCGUAGCGCAACUGGAUAGAGCGCCUGGCUUCGGACCAGGAGGUUAGAGGUUCAAAUCCUCUCGGGAGCACCA
rnacentral:tRNA from 1 species